AGCUCCGUAGCUUGAAGGAAAACAGCGCCCAUCUAGCAAAUUGGGAGUCGUGGGUACGAUUCCCAUCGGAGCGU
rnacentral:tRNA from 1 species